AGGUGGCUGGUGUUGUAAGUCACCUGUGCUUGUUCAUUCUCCCCGCUGGCCUCUGGUUUCCUGGUUUCCCUGUUUCCCAGAGCAGGGCGUAACUAGUCCAAGGUCCCCAAACCCCGGUCGCCCCUUCCAUGCGUCUGACUGCCGGCAGUGUCAAGUUUCUCUGUCCAGCACAUGAGCCACGAGAAUGAAAAGUCUCAGAUGCUUUGUCUUUUGCAGGCUUCCUUAAGGAAAGUUGAAUGAAGCUGUCUUUACUUUUUCCAACUUUAUUCACUUAAAAGAAAAAAAGAAAAAAAUCAGCUAACGCCUAGGAGUAGAAGGGAAACUGACUGACUUCUAAGCUGCACUUGGUUCAGACUUUGGAAGCCCACUGCAAGAGCUCAAGGUUAGCAAUCUUCAAAAGCUUAACAUUCUACUCUACAAUGUAACUGAAAAGACUUGGAGGUAUCCAUUGAGAAAGGACUCCAUACUACCAGACUUCUCUUCUUAGUUUUUACAUUAAACCCUUUAUUUUUUAAAUGAAUACUUUAUUCUCCUUGAAACCCUUGAUAAUAGAUUUUCCAUGAUCCUUGUUUGCGUGUGUGUGUGUCUGUGUGUGUGUCUGUGUAUGUUUGGAUAGAAUAUCAGUAGAAAGUUUUUUUUCCUUAUGUCUACCUAAAAUUUUCCUUAAACUCUCCUUUAC
rnacentral:lncRNA from 1 species